rnacentral:lncRNA from 1 species
GAGUAUUUGCUUCAACGCAUGAAGGCGUGCUUUGCAAUGCCUUCGGCUUUCUUUAUUUAUAGAACGAAAGAAACAACUUUACAUCUUUACAUUAAUGCAAAAAACAAAAGCUACUAAAAAAAAGUCAAAAAGACUAUUCCCUAGGUACCUAAAAAGUCUACAUAGCCUUUAUAAAGUUUACAUAAGAAUAGUAACUUACAAUAAUUACAAUUUUUUCGUAAAGAAUCUAUACAAUAUAUAAUUCUUGUCAUCCGUUGAUUUUGUCGUAUCUGCUAUAUCUCCAUUAUUGCUUCUUAUCUUAACUUUUCAGCUGGCAUUUUGUCUUCUUGAUUUUUAUUCUAGAUGUACCUCUGGAAUAAUAUUAUCUUCUCCAUUACACCUCGAACAUUGGUGAUCUGGAUAUUUGUGUCCGAUUAUUUUAAAAUAUUUUGUCAGUAAUCCUUCUGAAAUAAAUUCUUUUUUAAUUGCUCUUGUGGUAGAUUGUUUUUCUGGGUUAAGUAAUGUCAUUAUCCAUUGUCUGACAUCUUCCAUAUCUAUUUGUCGUAGCUCUUUUGAAUUAGAGUAAAUCAUUUGAUGAUCUCUCGAAUAAUAGCUCCAUAUUGGGUUUCCAUUAGUAUAAUUAUUUGCUAGCUCUUGGAUAAUUGUAGCUAGUCCGAUAAGUCAUUUAUUUGCGUAGAAGUCAAGUAUCUCAAUUCUGGGUAUCUCUGGUUGCUGUGUAAUAUCUUCUGGUAUGAUCA